rnacentral:lncRNA from 1 species
CCAACCUGUUCCUCGAGUAGUAGCAUCUUUGUCAUCAGACAAUCUUUAGGAAAGAGUUCCCCAACAUGCAGUUUCUCAAACAUCAAAAAUAAGGACUUAAUGUAUCACUUAAGUAUAGAGAUCACAGAUAUGACAAGUUGGUUCUAUGUUACUGACAAACACUCCAGAAGGGAGGAACUUCAAGGAGUCCAGUUCGAAACAUUUCUUGAAGCAGCAGAAUGAAAAAAAUUACGGUUG